GGACUACACGGGUUUCUAAUCCCGUUUGCUCCCCUGGCUUUCGCGCCUCAGCGUCAGAAGAGGUCCAGCACGUCGCUUUCGCCACCGGCGUUCCUUCCGAUAUCUACGCAUUUCACCGCUCCACCGGAAGUUCCACAUGCCCCUACCUCCCUCAAGACUUGCAGUAUCAAAGGCCCUGCUCCGGUUGAGCCGGAGGAUUUCACCCCUGACUGGCAAGCCCGCCUACGCGCCCUUUAAGCCCAGUGAAUCCGAACAACGUUCGCACGGUUCGUCUUACCGCGGCUGCUGGCAC
rnacentral:rRNA from 3 species